AAACCCCAAUUAUUUUUGCCGGUUGUCGUGUCCAUAUAAUGUAUCCUAUGCUGACAUGACUCUCCCAACAACAUUGUAAGGGCCACGUGUGUUUACAGUCCGGGGUCCAGGGUCAAAUAGUUAGUUUCGUCUAAACAGCCUAAUGUAGCCUAGCCUGUGACUAGUCGACUGUCACAAAAGCAGUGUACGGAUCGUCUGUGAUCUGUGCUGUUGAGACCAAUGAUAUAAUUCAUAUCAUAAAUUAUUUUCCUGAUUGAUAGGCUACGACGCAUGGCCAUGAUAAUGAAGGAUUAUUUCGAAAAACUGCUUGGGCCAACAUCCGGUUACCACACAAGAAUCUCAUCUGACAGAAGUAAUAACGGUACUCUCAUUGCCAACCAACUUCCACCCAAACCUUGGGAGGCUCCACCGUCCGUCUGUCUACGAGGUCUAAACAGAGGAAGCAGACCCGCCAUUUUCCUGCAAGCCUCCGGUCCUUUUAAACCCAGCAGGGGGAGGCGAACACGGAGAGGAGGACACUGAAGGAGGGGGGACAGAGAAAGAGUGAGAGUGUAUGAGAGAGGGUUUCAAAGAGGACGAUUACUACAGAAAGGAGCUCAUUGGUGUCGAGUGGUGGAACCGUGGAAGCCCAAGAAGACAAUAGCAGUUCCAUCGGAUUCACAUAACGUUAAGUUAGCCUUAGCAGGUUGUUUGGUUAAAA